rnacentral:rRNA from 1 species
AUACGGAGGGUGCAAGCGUUGUUCGGAAUUACUGGGCGUAAAGCACGCGUAGGCGGUCUGUUAUGUCAGAUGUGAAAGUCCUCGGCUCAACCGGGGAAGUGCAUUUGAAACUGGCAGACUUGAGUACUGGAGGGGGUGGUGGAAUUCCCGGUGUAGAGGUGAAAUUCGUAGAUAUCGGGAGGAAUACCGGUGGCGAAGGCGACCACCUGGCCAGAUACUGACGCUGAGGUGCGAAAGCGUGGGGAGCAAACAGGAUUAGAUACCCCGGUAGUCC